rnacentral:lncRNA from 1 species
GCAGGGGAGAUAACAAUUAGUGAAAAGAUACAAUAAACAGGGGAGAUAAGAUUACAGAAAAUCAUUUCUCAAAUAGGUAUUUUCAUACUUAAGACAGUUUUCUAAACAUACUGAUAGAGAGACCAUUUCACACAAUAGAAUUUUCUUUAGAUUACAUUUCUACAGUUGUGCCACAUAUACAUAUUAUAAUCAAAACAUAAUUGGCUCUUGAAGUGAGUGUUAAAUAUAUGUAUUGUUGAUGUGUUCAAUAUAGGUAUUUUAGAUGUUGUUAAUUAAAUAUACUUAUUGUAGAUGUGUUUAAUACAUAUAUUGUAGAUGUGUAAAAUAUAUGUAUUGCAGAUGUGUAAAAUAUAUCAAAAAGCUUUGAAAUAACUUUAUGAUAAUUUCUCUUACAUAUGUAAAUCAGUUAUGAAAACAGGCAAUAUAACUUACUGAGUUAUUUCCCCUGAUAAGAUUAUUCAUUAGCCAAUCAAGUACAAGCCUUUACAUAUGCAUGUAGGAUAGUGCCUUGUUCAUUAAAAAUGUAUAAAAUUAUAAUAUGAAUACUAAAGUAAAUGAUUAAAGUAAAUCUAUAUUAAAAUACAUAAUACACAAAUACUGGUCAUGUAAAAGAUGGACAUGGAAUUCAAAUGGUGCAGAAAAUAAUUUUUCAUGUGAGACCAAAGGAUUUGAAAGAACGUACAAAAUGUGUUUGAGCAAUUGGUCACUUCAGAAUCUAAUGCACUGCAGGUGAAAAGAACACCAAAAUGUUUUGAUUGGUUUAGGAAUGAUCUAAUGUAACAUCAUUGGUCAAAAAUCCAUUGUUCGUACACCAAAAUUUCAAAAAUACCAUAGAAAUUUAGUUUUUGAAAUGGCAAAUUGAAAUCAGCAUAGCUAGAACCACAAAAAUCUGCCAAAUUUAACAAUUCCUUAAAGGAGCUUUAUAAAAUUACAUAAUCUAUAAACUGAAUAUUCCCUAUCAAAAUUAUACAUUUCUUUAUGUUCACUCAUAAAUUUGUUUUUAGCCCAAUGAAACACUUUUGGAUAUCAAUUUUUUUGAUAAAGCAAUUUUAUGUACCAAUUGAAACAAGAAACACAUUCUUAAUUGGAAUUUUUAAUUAUGAACGUGUUUGCUUAAAUGUUUGGAUCUUUACAAAGUUUACAUCAUCAGUGCUUUAUAAGCAAAAUCAAGUUUAACAAUUCAACAAUUUAUAACUUUUUUUCACUCCGUGUUCCAAUUUUUUUUUUAUCUUGACCAAAAAAAUAAGAUUAAUUGUUGGUUGCUAAUUGUCCACAGGCAAAUAUUUCAUGCAUGUUCAGGACAAACAAAAACAGUGUUGAGAUCUUCUUUAAUGCCGGGUUCACAUUUUGCCGAUUAUUACUCGCGUUUGAGAUCAGACAGCGAUAAGACACGAAAAGUGAAAAAGUCGGAUUACCAUCCUCAAUUAUCUGGAAUGUCCUAUCAUUGUCUGAACGCAGUCGUUUUAGUUCGUAACAGAUUCCUAUGGGUCGGGAAUGGUCCGGCGAAGCACCCCGACAGUUAGAUCUGUCCCGUAACAUUCAGGAAAAGUCAGUCGAUUUUGUCCCGUCGGAUUACAAGUGUGACUAUGUCGUGACAGAUUUUGAUGUAUCGGAUCAAAAUCCUAACAAUGUUCUGUGUAUUCUGGACAGUGUCCUGUGGAACGGGAAUGAUCUGGAGAAAUAUUUCAUUGCUGAUUUUCUGUCGAUUGAGUCCAGAUUGCAUCCAGAUCUUGCCAAUUGCGAACCGUCUUUGCCGAAACCCUUCUGGAACAGUCCCGUUAUUAAUACGAAAUUCGUCAAUAAUACCCACAUCAGAGUGCAGACAAAUACCGAAUACAAUACGACUGAGACCCAAUAAAGCCGUUUGCAAUACGAUAGAGCGGACCGUGAUAGGAUUAUGUCACAAUUGAUCAUCCUGAGCAUUCCGACAGUUUUCGAACGGAUAACUUCAGUCAGCGUCGGUUCACUGUCUGGUCACUGUCUGAUCUUUGUUGGAUUAUAUUCAGUGGAAUCGGGAUGCAGUCGUGACACACACGGUGGAAUUUUACCAGGCGAAAGAUACAAAUCAGAUUAGAAGCGGAUCGAGAACGGGAUUAUCGGGAUAAAUUUGCUUGGAAAAGGUUGAAUAUCAACGCUUCCUGAACAAUAUCUGAUUGUUGUCAUGAUUAUUUUUUUUUUAACAAGUUUUAAAUUAAAGUUUGAAUUUUCAUCAACGAUUCACAGGAUCUUGAUCAGAUUUUUGACAAAUUUUAAUCGUGAAUGGUCCUGUCAAGGACGGCAGUAAAAAAUCGUGAAUGUGUGAUCCCAGCUUAAUUGAUUUGAAUACAAAUGUACAGUUUCCUCUGUGAUGUUAACACAUUUUUUAAGUAUGCAAACAAUAUCUUACAAUGUGUAGCACAUAAACAAAUAUAGAUCAAACACACUUAUUUUUAUUGUUAUUAAAACAUUGAUACCUCCUAUAAAAAUAAUGUAGGCACUUUACAAGACAUUAACAGAGAAAGGUAUUCAAAGCCAACAACAACAAGAUGCAUCCUUCCAAGUACACUAUAAAGUGCAAAAGGAACUAAAUAUAAUUUGAAAUACUUGUAACAAUUUUGACUCGCUGUUGAGAUUGAAAAUAGGACUUUUACAGGAUGAUUUUGGACCUGAUUAAAAAAUCCAUUUUUAACCCCUGCAUUCCAAAAGCACAUGUUACAGAGAGAAUAUAAAGAAUUAGUUGGUUAAGUGAUUUUUCUAUUAAAAAGAAUAAGUUAACACGUAAAUUGUGCAUCAUUCUAAAGCUAAACCAAUUUUUUGUGGCCUUGUGAAAUGAUCUAUCUAGUGUUUAUAUAACUAAAUAAAAUAAAGUAAGUUGUGUAAAUAAACUUCAUAAAUAGAUAGAUGUGAACAUAAAAUUGGUCAAACAAAAAUUAAAAUAACAUAUCAAUAAAUACACAAAUUUUUGAGACAGCAUCAAUUUAAUCUUAUUUCUUUGGAUAUUAUGGGGUGAGGGUGGGGAUGGGAUUAAAAAAAAAGUUCCCUUCAUACAAUUUUGAAAUCAAGGAGAUGCCUUACUACUACUGAUGUCGGAUUUAUAUUUUUAAAACAAUAUUUGCAAUUGAUUUGGAAAUAAUUCAAUAAAUUUAUUCACAUUAACAUACAUUUACUUCUACAUUAAUUCAUAAAAUAAUCUCACAAAACAUAAAGUGCAAUGGCCCUUUAGGGUCUGAUUAAAUUUAUUUUUCAGUCUCAACCCAUCUGCUCUAUCAAAUUUUAUUAUGAUUUUGUCAUUUUAAGAAAUUGUAUGGUCUUUUAAAUUUGAAAAAAAUAUUCAUGUUUUAAAAAGAAAUGUGACAUUUCCUAUCAAAUGUUUCAAUCUGCACCAAUAUAUCAAUCAACUAAAUACAAAUGACAAUAUAAGAGUUUUAAAAUGACCUUAUUUAAUUCAUUCUUGGUUCCUAAUUAAAAUUGUGAUUUGAACAGAUAUACAUGAGUUUAUCAUACACAUAAACAAAUAAAUGAAUGUGAAAACUGAAGUUAACACAUUGGUAUAAAUUAUCUCAGAUCUAUGUUUAACCGGAUAACAGCUUUAUAAUAACCUUCAACAGUUAAGAAUGUCUAAAUGAAAAAAACAAACUUUUUAAGUUUUAUUUCGUUUUUUUGCAAGUCAUAUAUCACAAAUAUUUAUAUUAUCACUUUUUGAAAGUUUUGUUUUUUUAAAUCUCUAUGAGAAAAUUAUAUUUUUUUAAUAUUUUUAAACAUGUUAAAAGUUUAAAGUACAGGAACACAGCAAAUUAAAAUUAUUACUAUUCAUCAUUGUAUCAUUCAUGAAAAGAGUGAGUAUUCUAUUUUCCCAUAUCUACACUAAAGUCCAAGGUCAAAUCAGUUCUUACAAUGUUAUAUUACUAGGUCAAACUGAUUAGAAAAAGUACAUACAUGUGUCUACACUGAAGUCCAAUGUCAAAUCAGUUUUUACUAUAGUUGUUGUAUUACUAGGUGAAACUGAUUAUAAAAAGUACAUACAUGUAUCAAAGUAUCAACAAUGACCUAAUAUCAAAUUUGCAAACAAUAAAUACUAGAAGAAUCCCUUUUGUAAGAAAAAAUCAGAAUAAAUGUUGGUAAUUAUUAACAGGUGCAAACUUUUGUACACAAUUAUAAAUUAGUUUUUGCACUUAUAUAUAUAUCCUCACUUCCAAUUUGAAAACUCUACUGCAAAUAAAUACAUGUACAUCAAAAUUAUAUAAUAUGUUAAGUAUAAAAUACAUCUUCCAAAUAUAAAACUUUUAUGUUUCACAAGUACAUUUAACUUCGAUUUACACUUAAAGCAUAGAUAGCAUUACCAGACUUACAUACAUGUACAUGUCAUGCAUGUAUCCAUAAUAAAAAUGUUACCAGACUUACAUACAUGUACAUGUAUCCAUUAUAAAAACGUUACAAGACUAACAUACACGUGCACGUAUCCAUUAUAAAAACUAUAAGAUGUACAAAAUAACAAACUUCUUCAUAACAAGAGAGCUAAAUAACAAUGAAAUAAACAAUUGGCAGGAUUCACAACACAACAUACAUUGAAUACGAUCAUUCUCAUUUGUUCUGGUCAAUUACUCUUAAAAGAGGGUCUAGAAAGGGGUUCUUCAUUUUUUUUUUUUUUUUUAUAGAUGAUUUUUCUCUUUUCUUUAUAUUUUUGCCCAUUAUUUUCCAUUCUUUACAUUUGGCCCAUUUUUCUCCAUUUUCCAUAUAUUAGCAUCACAUUUUUACCUUAUUUUUCUCUAUUCUUUACUUUUUAGGCCCCUUAUUUUUAAUUCUGUAAACCCCAACCAGACCCUCUUAAUUUGUAUUGCCCGACAGAAGUAACACAUUUAAAACUGUAGAAGUUUCAUGCAAGAAGAUAAAUAAAAAAGCUGAUUUUGUUCAAGCAUUCAUAAUGUAUCAAUUUAGUAUUAAAUGUCUUGAUGAAUGUCUUCCAAUGGAAAGAGGUCUUUGAUAAUAAGUUAUAAAUCCCUGAAGAGGCAUUAAAAAGAUCUUCAUCUUUUUAGUUUUG